AACGAACGCUGGCGGCAGGCUUAACACAUGCAAGUCGAACGGAUGUAGCAAUACAUUAGUGGCGCACGGGUGAGUAACGCGUGGGAACGUGCCCUUGGGUACGGGACAACCUCGGGAAACUGAGGCUAAUACCGUAUAAUGUCUUCGGACCAAAGAUUUAUUGCCCAAGGAUCGGCCCGCGUUGGAUUAGGUAGUUGGUGAGGUAAAGGCUCACCAGGCCGACGAUCUAUAGCUGGUCUGAGAGGAUGAUCAGCCACACUGGGACUGAGACACGGCCCAGACUCCUACGGGAGGCAGCAGUGAGGAAUAUUGGACAAUGGAGGAAACUCUGAUCCAGCCAUGCCGCGUGAGUGAAGAAGGCCUUCGGGUUGUAAAGCUCUUUUGUCCCUGACGAUAAUGACGGUAGGGGAAGAAAAAGCCACGGCUAACUUCGUGCCAGCAGCCGCCGUAA
rnacentral:rRNA from 1 species